rnacentral:lncRNA from 1 species
AGUCAGGAGGCUGCCCCUGGGUGUGGCGGCUGCGGGGAGGAAUGAAGGAUUUCUCCAUCCUCUUGGAGGUUGAUCAGUAGGACUUCCUGUUGGGUUCAACAAGAUUGGUAAGAAAAAGAAGAAUCAGCAUGACUCUUAGGUUUCUGGUUUAAGAGACUGAUUCAUGGUGGCGUCACUUAGUAAUCCGGGAAAAUCUGAGAGGUGAGUAUAUUUGUAGGGGUGAGUGAGAAUCCAUUUCAUUUUGGAGCUGAGUUUUAGAUGUUUGUGAGACAGCCAAAUGGAGCCAUCCAAUGGGAAGUUGGAAUACGCACCUGAAACUUGGGCAGAUGUGUAGAGGUAGGGAUUUGGGAAUCAUCAACAUACAGAUGGCCUUUAGAGCCACAGGCAUGAAAAAGGUCUCUAGGAGGAUGUGGUAAAAAAACAGGAGGGCAGAAGGCCCUUCACCCCAGUUCCUCCCCUCAAGUCUUCUACACAUGUCCUAGUCCUUCAUUCUUUAGGCUUCAUGUGCAGAGGAUACAGUCCACUUCUGCCCUCUCACAUGGAGUCUGAUGGCCCCUCAGCAAGUUGGCCAACUGUGGUCACCCUCUCAGAAAGCCCAACCCCCAUGCCUUUAUCUUCUAUACCUUUCAGAUAAGAUUCCUGCCCCCUCCCCACCCACUCUCUAGGUCACCAAAUGAUCUUCAUGGCAAGAGAAAAGGAAGGAAGGAAGAAACCCUAAACAACACUGCCAUCAUCACCCAGCCAAGCAGCUAAACCAAUAAGCAAAACUACAGCAUGAGCUUUCAGAGAGAUUACCCUGCUGGCCAAGUCUUGGAAGAUAAUUUGCUGUCCUGCGAUUUGCCUUUGGGGUGAAUCAUGCUUCCAGACUGCUCUCUUUUGACUUAGCAGUUAGUUUGUCAGCGUAUAGCCUGGAUCACACGGAAGGCUGGAAUAAGAGAAUUUUACCAGGACCACUCUUUGAUGAGCAUAUGCUCCAUUGACAAUGGAUCCUAAAGGGAAAAUGAGUCCCGAAGCCAAUAUGCACCUGUAAAGACACCACAUGUUUUUCAGUGUGGUGUGUGAGUUUCAGAGACCCCAUUGUGUAAUUCUCCACUCCUUUUAUGUUAAAGGGUGAGGAUCUUCUCUUAUCUCUGUAUGAAUAUUCCCUAUUCCUGGCAGAUUCCCCCUCUUACCUGCUGCCUCCCACAGCUCCCAGACUAUGCCAGGAGCUAAUUCCUGUACCAGAAAGAAGCAAACAGGAAGUGCCCUCUUUACGGCUGUAGAUAACCCGCAGCAUUGAGGUUUCCUUUCGGUGUUUUGCACCUCUGCUUCAGUUCAUUUUGCCCUGCCCCUUUCCUUCCGGUGCAGCAUCAGGCCACUUUUCUGGCCUUUCUCUGCAGUUCUUAAGGCCACAUGUUUCUCAUCUUCCCACUAUUUUCCUUGACCAAUCAUUUUAUGUGCUGCUCAUACAAGUGAUGUGAUUCGCAACUUUGCCCUGAAGCUCAAUUUGUUCAUGCAUCUGGGCUCCCGGCUCCUCAUCAGGUUUGCAAACCUGCUGUGCAACCCAGACCCAUAACUUCCGCAUGUGCUUUGUUCCCCCAGCUCCAGCUUGUGGCCUAUCUUUGUACUAAGCCACCACCCCCACAGUUCCUCUGCUGACAUAUAGUGUGCACAUGAAAAACUGCUUUUUGUUUCAUGACUGCUUUAAAUACCUGGAUCCUGUGAUCCUGUGCUUGUGUCUCUGUGCCUCCUUACUUAUGUAUUUUAUGACAUUUUGACUCACCCAAAACUACUCCAUCUCUGCUCCCCACUGAAAGGGUCUGCCUUCUGCAGCUCUUCCCUAGGGGUCAGCAUUUAUGUGUAUCACUACUCCUAAGCAGGGUUACCCUUUUUUUUUUUUUCUGAGAUGGAGUUUCACUCUUGUUGCCCAGGCUGGAGUGCAAUGGCAUGAUCUUGGCUCACUGCAACGUCCGCCUCGAGGGUUCAAGUGAUUUCCCUGCCUCAGCCUCCUGAGUAGGUGGGAUUACAGGUGUGUGCCACCACGCCUGGCUAAUUUUUGUGUUUUUAGUAGAGACAGGGUUUCACC